CGAGCCCUCUCUCUCUUUCCGUUUUCCCGGCCACCGCCCUCCACCCUCAACCCAUUCCAGAGUUUUUUAAGAGGGGAUCAUCAUCCCCAUUCCUCGUCUUCUCUCUCUCUCUCUCAUCAUCAUCACCCCCCCUCCCUAACCCCCUCUAGAUUCAAGAAGCAGAACGGCUCCGGCGUUGAUAUCUUCGCCCGCCUCUUCGCCGCUUCCUUGGAUCCCGACUUCGCCCCCCUCUCCCUCGAACCGCGGAUCCUCAAGUCCCGCCUCAUCGCCGGCGAGACCCUCUACGGCCUCUUCCUCCUGCGCUCCUCCCCGACCCUCGCCGAGAUCCCCGACCCUCGCCGCCGCCCGCACCCCGGCCAUCCUCCGCCUUCCGGAGCUCUCCGCCGCCUGGGCCAAGAAGGCCCUUGAUCUCGGCCCCCAGGGACUCAUGUUCCCCAUGAUCGAGUCCCCCGGCACCACUGUUAUCCUUCUCGGUUUCCAGCACUACCUGGUUAUGCUUGGCACCACUGUUAUCAUUCCUACUGCUCUUGUUCCUCAGAUGGGUGGAGGAAAUGAUGAGAAAGCUCAGGUGAUCCAGACAUUACUGUUUGUGGCCGGCUUAAACACUCUGUUACAGACCUUGUUUGGAACUCGUUUACAAGGUCAAUUUUCUAAACCAAUUGACUAUCUUGGUUUCUGAACAAAACACUUGAAAAUACUAAUGAGAUUUCAUGAACAGGCCUUCUAGUGUACAUUGGGACAAGUUUCUUCUCUUUAGGUUCUUCCAAAGCUUCCUGCCUUUCUUUGUGUUUGAAGUAUGAUAUCUGUUGUAAUUGGAAUGUAAUUAUGCUCUGUCAGGUUUUUAAUUUUAAGUAGGUUGAAGCAGUAUAAUAGGAGAGACGGGUCUGGACUGUCAAGUCUCUGUGAAGGAUUUGGGGUUUUGUUUGAUUUUCUUGCAUGUGCUUCUGAAGCAGGUAUCUCUUAGUUAUGGAAAUCCUAGUUGCAGAGAUUUAUUCAUGUCAGUGGUUGCUUUUAGGAUUGUUUUUGCAGCUCAAAUUCAUGGAUUAUGGUUGAAAUACGGAUGUACCUCUUAUGAGUCCCAGAGACUGCAGGGUUGUCAUGGACGCAGAAGAUCUGUAUAUGCCAUGUCAUGAAAAAUAUUUUGCAGCGUCUUGGAGGAAACAAAUAUUUGAGUAUUGUUUAUGAUAAAUAAUCUGCCAACGGAUCUAGUAGCAAGCUGCUAGAAUAUGGUUUGUGCUUGUUGUUCUCAGUCAACCUCCUUCAUCCACUCACACUAAUUAUCCAGGAUCAAUUUUUUGGGGAUGCACCAUCUGAUAAUCGAAUCGAGAACUUCUGGUUGCUAAGCGGAAGGUUGACUGCUGGGGCAGAUCCCAAUUCUAAAAAACAACUUGAUUGGUUGCAAGGAUUAAAUGGAAAGCAUUUUCCAAAUAUACGAGGAGCUGAAUUUGUUUGGGGUAUGGAGGCUGGGUGAGUUUGCCCAUCGACCAAACAGAAUUUGCUGUGUGAAGUGGCAGCCUUUGGAUGGUGGUCUUGUCAUUUGUGAAAUUAACAUUUGCCCCCAGGAUUACUUUGGCUUCUGAAGGAGAGGCUAAAACUGAGAAAAGCUAUUGCUAUUUUCUUGUGUAGCAUAAAUCAGUGCAUAGAAAUGCAUCGUUUCAUGUGAUUAAAAAUUUUUAGUCUAUCCUCAAACAUUCUGCCGCCAGGUGGUACUGCUAGUGCUUGAUUAUUGAUCGAGAUCUCUCUCUCAGUUCGAUGAACCUUCGAUGCUUGAUGAUCUUUACAUCUUGCAUCUAUCUUUGUAGGAUUACUUCGGCCUAUGAAGGAGAGCCUAAAGCUAAAGAUUGCUGGUGAUCUUCUUCCAUGUGGAGUACUAAACUCAAAGGAAGGGUGGCAUCUUUCCUUAUAAUUUACUUCUUCCAUAGCCUUAUUUAAACAAAACUUGAUAUUUCUGCACAUAUUUCACAGACUGGGAGAAGCUGAGAAGGCAAUUCACCAUUACAAGCUAUCACGAAAGGAAACCAGCUCUAAUGACUUCUCACAAGUGCAUGCUCUCCAGACCCAUUUGGCCAAGCGUAAUGAAGCACGUAAGCAAAAGGAUUGGCUCACUGUGUUAAAGGAAUCACAGGCUGCUGUCUCUGCUGGUGCCGAUUCUGCACCACAGGUCUUACAUUACAAUAACCUUUCAGUUUACAUGGUGGCAGAAAUUAUACCUUAUCUUGUUUCAUGUAUUAUCUUUGCCUAAAAGUAUAUAUGCCCAACCUUCCUUAUCUAUUUCCUUGUCCAAAUUGAUUCAUUAUUUUAAAAUGUUAGUUUUUACUUAA